ACUCCUACGGGAGGCAGCAGUGGGGAAUCUUGGACAAUGGGGGCAACCCUGAUCCAGCCAUGCCGCGUGAGUGAUGAAGGCCUUAGGGUCGUAAAGCUCUUUCGCCUGUGAUGAUAAUGACAGUAGCAGGUAAAGAAACCCCGGCUAACUCCGUGCCAGCAGCCGCGGUAAUACGGAGGGGGUUAGCGUUGUUCGGAAUUACUGGGCGUAAAGCGCGCGUAGGCGGAUUAGUCAGUUAGAGGUGAAAUCCUAGGGCUCAACCCUGGAACUGCCUUUAAUACUGCUAGUCUUGAGUUCGAGAGAGGUGAGUGGAAUUCCGAGUGUAGAGGUGAAAUUCGUAGAUAUUCGGAGGAACACCAGUGGCGAAGGCGGCUCACUGGCUCGAUACUGACGCUGAGGUGCGAAAGUGUGGGGGAGCAAACAGGAUUAGAUACCCUGGUAGGAUAGCG
rnacentral:rRNA from 1 species